GUCUUUGGCCAUCACCCUGAACACUCCCAAUCUCGUCUGAUCUCAGAAGCUAAGCAGGGUUGGGCCUGGUUAGUACUUGGAUGAGAGAAAUCUAUUCUAUUAUGUCA
rfam:Otolemur garnettii contig000779, whole genome shotgun sequence.